CUUAUGUAAAACUCUCACCAUUUUUAAAUGUUGGCAACUGAUUUAAAUUCUACAAAAUGUUGUGUGGGCCAAGUGUAACACAUCUGCUAGCCUCAUCUGCCGGCAGGCGAGCUGCUGGUGUGUAACUUCUGGCUAGAGAGAAAGAUUUUCUCUCUUCAGUGGAGAGGUCAAGGUGAGCUUGGAUCCAAGGGCGCAUGCCUGCAAUGACCUUCCUUCCCUCUGCUUCUGACACGUUGGGAGUUGCUGCCUCAGGCUCAGUUUGCAUCUCUCUCACCACUCUGUUCCCCGCCAGCCCCUAUGCCUCUCAGGCCUCACUGUGUGUUGGUGCUCACUGCAUCUGUCCCGUGCCCUCCUAUGGGGGAUAAACACAGAGCAAAAUCCGUGCAGCAGGGAGCAGACCUGGACCUGCUGGCUAACAGAGAGAAGACUCAGAGCUGCCCUGGCACAGGCUCCAGCUGAGGCCCGCAAGGAUCUUUUCCUUUUCCGGGAUGGAAGAAGCAGACUGGGGAUCUGUCCUCCCUGGGCUUCUCCCGUGCGAGCCCGAUGCGGCCUCUCAAGUCUGUGCACAGACGCCGCCUCCGGGGAUCAGAGUCGGUGAGAAUGAAGUUGAGGGCUUUCCUCGAAUUGCUGAGACAGAAACAUCCUCUUUCUGGCGAGAUUUAAACCUGGGACAGUGCAGGCCUGGAGGAAGUGGCAACCACCACAAGAGCCUCUGAAGGAGGCCACAGUGGAGAAAACAGAGAUGAGAGAAGCCCUGUCUGGGAGGGGUGGCCUCAUCGGAGCCACCGAACCAAGUCACCCACGGUUCCUUAAGCCCCGUCGUUUGGCCUUGUGUGUUUUUCCUUCUUUAAACCAGUUGGCGGUGUGUUUCGUUCUGACAGUUGCCGCAGAAAGGAACCUUCUAGCCUCCCAGAAAGGCGUGAAGAACGAGUCCUCCGUGAACACCUUCACAGUUGUCAAAGCGUGGUCACCUCCUUGCCCCGAGACCCCAACUCUCCUGUCACGUGGUAAAGCGGGAGCUCUCAGUCCCACGUCCCACAGCAGCCCCCGAGGCUCAGCGAGGUGACGGCCCACAGCGAGACAGGAUCUCAUUCCAGAGUCUCUCUCUGCACAGAUAAUGUCAGGUCACAUGCACGUGCAUGAGGAGGCCACCUGAGGGCCGUGAGCAGCCUGUCUCUGGGGAGCUAGACUCGAGUGACUGUGAGUCACGCCAGUCCACCAUGGAGCGUUCUGGGUGUGCAUGGAAUUGCAAAUCAAAGCUGUGUGUGCUGAAGGUUUCCAGGUACCGGGGAGCCCCGAGGACCCUCCAAAACUGGUUUGCGCCA